UCCAACUCACUCUAAACUCCAACCCUUUCCACCCCACCAAGAAUCAAAAUGCCCCACAUCUCAUUUGAUAAGUGAAAGUAAACAAUUAAUCCAAUCAAGGUGUUAACAGCCCAAAGUGCCUAUCCAUAGUCCAUCAAAGGAUGCCAGGAGGCAUAAUUCCUCAAUCUUUUGAAUGGACAGAGGUAUUCUGGAGGAAAUGCCGUCUACUCUUACCCUAAAUAUGAUUAUUAGCAUAGGCAAAGUUGCCCCUAAUACCAAAAAAAGUCUUAACUAAGAAUGUUUCACACAGCUGGGUUUAACAAAAACAAAACAGCAACAAAAACAACAAAGACUGUUUAUGCCUGUAACCCCCACAUGCUGGGAAGGCCAACACAGAAGGAUCACUUGAGCCCAAGGAUUCAAGACCAGCCUGGGCAACAUAAGGAGACCCCAUCUCUACAAAAAAAAAUUUUUUAAUUACUAAUAGCUGGGUGUGGCGGUGCAUGAUUGCAGUCCCGGCUCCUCAGGAGGCUGAGGCAGGAGGUUCCCUUGAGCCCAGCAGGCUGAGGCUACAGUGAGCUGUGAUCAUGCCACUAUACUUCAGUCUGGGUGACAGAGCAAAAAAGACCUUGUCUCAAAAAAAAAGUGUUUUACAUGAUAACAAAAUGAAUUUUGUUAUCUUGGACUGGAUCCUGGACCAGAUAAAAGACAUUGCUGGGGCAAUCUGAUAAAUCUGUCCUGGCUAACACAGUGAAACCCCGUCUCUACUAAAAAUACAAAAAAAAUUAGCCGGGCGUGGUGGCGGGCGCCUGUAGUCCCAGCUACUCGGGAGGCUGAGGCAGGAGAAUGGCAUGAACCCGGGAGGCGGAGCUUGCAGUGAACCGAGAUCGCGCCACUGCACUCCAGCCUGGGCGACAGAGCGAGACUUCGUCUCAAAAAAAAGAAAUAAGUGUAGUACCUGGUACCUGGCAGUGCCUUGACAGAUACUUCCCGUCCUUAAUACAAGACAUGUCUGUCCUCAUCAUCACAGACCUAAGAGGCUAACCAUGAACUACUUUCCCUUUGACCUAUCUUCUUUUUAAAAGAGGAAGACGUCAGUACACCCUAAAGAUACCAA
rnacentral:lncRNA from 1 species